CGGGGUGCAGCAGGCGCGAAACCUCUGCAAUAGGCGAAAGCUUGACAGGGUUACUCUGAGUGAUUUCCGUUAAGGAAAUCUUUUGGCACCUCUAAAAAUGGUGCAGAAUAAGGGGUGGGCAAGUCUGGUGUCAGCCGCCGCGGUAAUACCAGCACCCCGAGUGGUCGGGACGUUUAUUGGGCCUAAAGCAUCCGUAGCCGGUUCUACAAGUCUUCCGUUAAAUCCAACUGCUUAACAGGUGGGCUGCGGAAGAUACUAUAGAUCUAGGAGGCGGGAGAGGCAAGCGGUACUCGAUGGGUAGGGGUAAAAUCCUUUGAUCCAUUGAAGACCACCAGUGGCGAAGGCGGCUUGCCAGAACGCGCUCGACGGUGAGGGAUGAAAGCUGGGGGAGCAAACCGGAUUAGAUACCCGGGUAGUCCCAGCUGUAAACGAUGCAGACUCGGUGAUGAGUUGGCUAUAUGCCAUCUCAGUGCCGCAGGGAAGCCGUUAAGUUUGCCGCCUGGGGAGUACGGUCGCAAGACUGAAACUUAAAGGAAUUGGCGGGGGAG
rnacentral:rRNA from 1 species